AAGCGGCGACGUGGAGCAAAUCUCAGAAAACCGGUCGUAGUCCGGAUCGCAGUCUGCAACUCGACUGCGUGAAGUCGGAAUCGCUAGUAAUCGCGAAUCAGAAUGUCGCGGUGAAUACGUUCCCGGGCCUUGUACACACCGCCCGUCACACCAUGGGAGUGGGUUGCACCAGAAGUAGCUAGUCUAACCGCAAGGGGGACGGUUACCACGGUGUGAUUCAUGACUGGGGUGAAGUCGUAACAAGGUAGCCCUAGGGGAACCUGGGGCUGGAUCACCUCCUUA
rnacentral:ncRNA from 1 species